rnacentral:tRNA from 7 species
GUCCACAUAGCUUACACCAAA